rnacentral:rRNA from 1 species
GACGAACGCUGGCGGCGUGCUUAACACAUGCAAGUCGAACGCUGAAGCUCAGCUUUUGUUGGGUGGAUGAGUGGCGAACGGGUGAGUAACACGUGAGUAACCUGCCUCCUUCUUUGGGAUAACGCCCGGAAACGGGUGCUAAUACUGGAUAUUCACUGGUCUUCGCAUGGGGGUUGGUGGAAAGGGUUUUUCUGGUGGGGGAUGGGCUCGCGGCCUAUCAGCUUGUUGGUGGGGUGAUGGCUAACAAAGGCUUUGACGGGUAGCCGGCCUGAGAGGGUGACCGGUCACAUUGGGACUGAGAUACGGCCCAGACUCCUACGGGAGGCAGCAGUGGGGAAUAUUGCACAAUGGGCGCAAGCCUGAUGCAGCGACGCCGCGUGAGGGAUGGAGGCCUUCGGGUUGUGAACCUCUUUCGCUCAUGGUCAAGCCGCAACAAUGGUUGUGGUGAGGGUAGUGGGUAAAGAAGCGCCGGCUAACUACGUG